UAGGGAAUCUUCGGCAAUGGACGAAAGUCUGACCGAGCAACGCCGCGUGAGUGAAGAAGGUUUUCGGAUCGUAAAACUCUGUUGUUAGAGAAGAACAAGGACGUUAGUAACUGAACGUCCCCUGACGGUAUCUAACCAGAAAGCAACGGCUAACUACGUGCCAGCAGCCGCGGUAAUACGUAGGUGGCAAGCGUUGUCCGGAUUUAUUGGGCGUAAAGCGAGCGCAGGCGGUUUCUUAAGUCUGAUGUGAAAGCCCCCGGCUCAAGCGGGGAGGGUCAUUGGAAGCUGGGAGACUUGAGGGCAGAAGAGGAGAGUGGAAUUCCAUGUGUAGCGGUGAAAUGCGUAGAUAUAUGGAGGAACACCGGUGGCGAAGGCGGCUCGCUGGUCUGUAACUGACGCUGAGGCACGAAAGCGUGGGGAGCAAACAGG
rnacentral:rRNA from 1 species